rnacentral:rRNA from 1 species
CUACGGUGGGCAGCAGUGGGGAAUAUUGGACAAUGGGCGAAAGCCUGAUCCAGCCAUGCCGCGUGUGUGAAGAAGGCCUUCGGGUUGUAAAGCACUUUCAGUGGGGAAGAAAGCCUUGGGGCUAAUACCCUCGAGGAAGGACAUCACCCACAGAAGAAGCACCGGCUAACUCCGUGCCAGCAGCCGCGGUAAUACGGAGGGUGCGAGCGUUAAUCGGAAUUACUGGGCGUAAAGCGCGCGUAGGCGGUCUGAUAAGCCGGUUGUGAAAGCCCCGGGCUCAACCUGGGAACGGCAUCCGGAACUGUCAGGCUAGAGUGCAGGAGAGGAAGGUAGAAUUCCCGGUGUAGCGGUGAAAUGCGUAGAGAUCGGGAGGAAUACCAGUGGCGAAGGCGGCCUUCUGGACUGACACUGACGCUGAGGUGCGAAAGCGUGGGUAGCAAACAGGAUUAGAUACCCAGUAGUC